UGGGAACUCAGAUGCGAAGAAUGAAUUAGGUGGAACAGAAAAAAACAAAGGCUCUUCUGCAACAGAUGGGACUGAAGCUGUUUUUCAUGACCACAUUGAUUCUUCUGAUUCUUCAGUUGGCCAAGAAGAGGCCCGCAUAAAUCUGGAUACGCUGCCAGAGAAUAGCGGAGAUGGCAUUAAUAGCCCAAAACUGUAUUCCUAAGAUCAUAUUUCAAAGUUGCCUGAAAAACCCAAAACUCUCUGUGUUUAACAAAACAGAGCGAACAAGUAACUAGACACUUAGGUCACUCACGAGGCAUUUCGUAACAAUUCUCAUUCUGCAGCCACAUCUCGGCUAUUAAUG
rnacentral:misc_RNA from 1 species